CUGAAGGCUAAAGAUAAUCUUUGUUUUCUGGAGAAACUCACCCGCAGUUCAGUAGAAGCAUCGCUCAGAGUGAUAUUACCCACAACCUUUACAAGAUAUAAGGGGUACAUCACCAAAUAGCACCCUAUCCCCUAUAUCAGGGGUUCUCAAAGUGGGGUCUGUACUGCAGGGGUUCUCAGAGUGGGGUCUGUACUGCAGGGGUUCUCAGAGUGGGGUCUGUACUGCAGGGGGUCAGCAGCCAAACCAGGUGUUCUCAGAGUGGGGUCUGUACUGCAGGGGGUCAGCAGCCAAACCAGGGGUUCUCAGAGUGGGGUCUGUACUGCAGGGGUUCUCAAAUAUACAUGUUUUUUUUUUUUGUUGGAAUGAAUAUUACUAAACACAUUUUGUCCAAGGGAUCCGUGGAAUCAUUUUUUGAGAUUGUAAUUCAAUGCAUGUUCUUAAGCGACAAUUUAUGCUGGAUCUGAAAAUGUGGUCGGAGGCUCCAUGUGGAGGGAAGCCAUGCACUGCCCUUGUCCUAGUAUAGUUACUUGAAUUAUAUUUUUCUGUUUUUG
rnacentral:lncRNA from 13 species